rnacentral:rRNA from 1 species
CGAAGGCGACUUGCUGGGCAGCAACUGACGCUGAGGCGCGAAAGCCAGGGGAGCGAACGGGAUUAGAUACCCCGGUAGUCCUGGCCGUAAACGAUGCGUGUUAGGUGUUGGUAGGGCUCUGAGCCGUAUCAGUGCCGUAGGGAAACUGUUAAACGCGCCGCCUGGGAAGUACGCUCGCAAGGGUGAAACUUAAAGGAAUUGGCGGGGGAGCACCACAAGGGGUGAAGCCUGCGGUUCAAUUGGACUCAACGCCGGGAAACUUACCGGGGGCGACAGCAGAAUGAAGGUCAGGCUGACGACCUUACCAGACAAGCUGAGCGGAGGUGCAUGGCCGUCGCCAGUUCGUGCCGUGAGGUAUCCUGUUAAGUCAGGCAACGAACGAGACCCACAUGCUUAGUUGCCAUCAAGAGCCGAAAGGUUUGUUGGGAACGCUAAGCGGACUGCCAUCCGUACAGGAGGAGGAAGGAGUGGGCCACGGCAGGUCAGUAUGCCCCUAAUCCCCCGGGCCACACGCGGGCUGCAAUGGUAUGGACAAUGGGUCGCAACUCUGAAAAGAGAAGCCAAUCUCGAAACCAUAUCUCAGUUGGGAUUGUCGGCUGUAACCCGCCGACAUGAACGUGGAAUCCCUAGUAAUCGUGUGUCAUCAUCGCACGGUGAAUACGUCUCUGCUCCUUGCACACACCGCCCGUCGCUCCAUCCGAGUGUGGUAUAAUUGAAAAAUAAUCCAUGGGGUCAUUUUAAAAUUAUACCACGCGAGGAGGGAGAAGUCGUAACAAGGUAGCCGUA